rnacentral:tRNA from 1 species
GUUCUUGUAGUUGAAUAACAACGGUGGUUU